GUGAGGAAUUUUCCGCAAUGGGCGAAAGCCUGACGGAGCAAUGCCGCGUGAAGGAUGAAGGCCUAUGGGUUGUAAACUUCUUUUCUCAGAAAAGAAUUAUGACGGUAUCUGAGGAAUAAGCAUCGGCUAACUCUGUGCCAGCAGCCGCGGUAAGACAGAGGAUGCAAGCGUUAUCCGGAAUGAUUGGGCGUAAAGCGUCUGUAGGUUGUUUAAAAAGUAUUCUGUCAAAGAUUAGGGCUUAACCCUAGAUAGGCAGAAUAAACUUUUAAGCUAGAGUUUGGUAGAGGCAGAGGGAAUUCCCGGUGGAGAGGUGAAAUGCGUAGAUAACGGGAGGAACACCAAAGGCGAAGGCACUCUGCUGGGCCAAUACUAACACUGAGAGACGAAAGCGAGGGGAGCAAAUGGGAUUAGAUACCCUGGUAGUCC
rnacentral:rRNA from 1 species